GACGAACGCUGGCGGCGUGCCUAAUACAUGCAAGUAGGACGCAGUUGCGAACGGGUGAGUAACGCGUAGGUAACUGCCUAUUAGAGGGGGAUAAGUAUUGGAAACGAUAGCUAAUACCGCAUACUAGUAGAUGGACCUUCGUUGUAUUAGCUAGUAGGUAGGGUAAUGGCCUUCUUAGGCGACGAUACAUAGCCGACUCUGGAGGGUGUUCGGCCAACAUGGGAAUGAGACACGGCCCAGACUCCCACCGGAGGCAGCAGUAGGGAAGUUUUGGCAAUGGGGGGAACCCGGACCGAGCAACUGCGGGUGAGUUAAGGAGGGUUUCGGAGCGGAAAGCUCUGUUGGUAAGGAAGCGGUACUUAACCAGAAAGGGACGGCUAACUACGUGCCAGCAGCCGCGGUAAUUC
rnacentral:rRNA from 1 species